CAGGCCUAACACAUGCAAGUCGAACGAGGUUUGGUCAGUUUGCGGUGGUGCUUGCAUCACCAAUUACAGAUCAAACCGAGUGGCGGACGGGUGAGUAACACGUGGGUAACCUGCCCUUCAGCAGGGGAUAACAUUUGGAAACAGAUGCUAAUACCGUAUAACCACGGAGACCGCAUGGUCUCCGGGUAAAAGAUGGCGCAAGCUAUCACUGAAGGAUGGACCCGCGGCGUAUUAGCCAGUUGGUGGGGUAACGGCCUACCAAAGCGAUGAUACGUAGCCGACCUGAGAGGGUAAUCGGCCGCAUUGGGACUGAGACACGGCCCAAACUCCUACGGGAGGCAGCAGUAGGGAAUCUUCCACAAUGGACGCAAGUCUGAUGGAGCAACGCCGCGUGAGUGAA
rnacentral:rRNA from 1 species